GUCCGAGGAAGAAGGAUGAUGAUGGGAGGCGUUGUGGCGAGCAGAAGUUCGCUUUCUCUUCCCCAUAACAAAAAGAAAAGUGAUAGUUUAAUAUAAAAAAGAUGGUGUAAGCUAAUGGCCAAGAAUUGAUUAGAAUCGAAGGGUUUUAGUUUGGCCCUAUUGUUGAAGGUUUUUCGUAAUGCCCUGUAGAUUUGCGGUGUUGAAACUCUGAG
rnacentral:misc_RNA from 1 species